rnacentral:misc_RNA from 1 species
AUAAUGAUAUUGAUAAGGCCACAACUUUGUUAGAAGAGAUGAUUUCUACUGGCAACUCUACAGAGAAGGGGGAAGCAAAGGAUUUAUCUAAUUGCGAUGAUUUUCGAUGUGAAGAAGGGGGAAAAGAGAUUGCUUUGUCAGGACAGACCUCAAACCUUGCUGCAGACAUCGCUGAUAUAAGCUCUACUCUUGUGGGUACUUUCAAAAUUAAUCACAAACAAUUGAAGGAUGUGCAUACUGCCUGUGAACGUAGGCUCUCUGGUGUAGAUAAUUAGUAUUUGAAACUAAUUUCUGAACUUUGCUAGUAUUUCUCUCAUUAUCAAAAUGAGCCCAAUACAAAGAGUAUUUAGAGCCAAGUCAACAAAGUCUGCUGAUAAAUUAUCAUAUCCUACAAUCAACUCCAACAUAACAGUCUGCAACCUACUUAAUAGAAUAUCAGUGCACUUCUUUAUCCCCCCUCAAGUUGGAUCAAGUGAAAAUGUUACCAGAUUCAAUUUGGAUAAAAAUUUACUAUGAACAUCUGCAGGAAGGGGUUUGGUGAAAACAUCUGCUAGUUGCAAAGUAAAAGAAACAUGAACAGGUGCUAUAAACCCUUUCUGGAGCUGAUCUCUAACUAUGUGACAAUCAAUAUCUAUAUGUUUAGUCCUCUCAUGGAAG